UCUCCUUCCACAAAUGAAAAAAUCUAGUCAAGUUAGAUUUACAAACCUCUCUUUGAAAUCACUCCAGAACUUCUUCGAACUUGAUGCAUACAUAAUUCUAGGUAACAAUUCUGGUGCCACUGUUACAUUAAUCCAUGAUAGUACAACUGCAUCACAUCUCUCCAAUCUUGCCAAAUCUCUUCUGCACGCUCUCAACAAAUCCAAGUUUGUUUUUGACUAGUAGUGCAAGACGCAUUGAUCUGCUCUA
rnacentral:lncRNA from 1 species